UACAGAGGUCCCAAGCGUUGUUCGGAUUCAUUGGGCGUAAAGGGUGCGUAGGCGGCGCCAUAAGUUGGAUGUGAAAUCUCGGGGCUCAACCCCGAAACUGCAUUCAAUACUGUGGUGCUUGAGUACUGGAGAGGAGACUGGAAUUCAUGGUGUAGCAGUGAAAUGCGUAGAUAUCAUGAGGAAGGCCAGUGGCGAAGGCGGGUCUCUGGACAGUUACUGACGCUGAGGCACGAAGGCCAGGGGAGCAAACGGG
rnacentral:rRNA from 1 species